UUCUAGGGGUCUCCGCCCUCUGGGGGCUAGGAGGAGGAGGAGGAGGAGGAGGAAGAAGAAGAAGAAGAUGAUGAUGAUGAUGCGUACGGGUAUUAUAUACAUGGAUGGCUGCUUCGACAUGAUGCAUUGCACUACUGCCCAAUUGGUCGUUGGCGUCCUCAGCGAUCCCCAAUUUACUAUUGCCUAACAAACAGAGGCCCUCCCAAACGCUAUGAAAGCAAGGCAGAAAGCGACAGAAGGUAUUACGAGGAUAACAAGGAUGUCACUGGUGAUUAACUGAUGCUGGAAGAAGGUAUGGUGUAAUGCCCAUUCAUGGGCAGUCUUUUGAGUGCCUAUUGCAUUAGUUUUACUGAGAUGAAUGGAUUUAUUAUACUACUUACUUAGCAUGAUACAUAUAGAUUUCUCAAUAGGGUGGGUGUGACAUGUUUGAGACCCAAUUUUGAAGAAUAGGCCUAGUUAUGGAGCAAAUAUCUGUAUUCUAUUUGUAUUCGUUGGACUCCUUUCUUGGAAUCGAGUACGAGAUCACAAACAACUUCUGCAUUCUAAUAAAAAAAAACAAAGAAGCAUGUUCAUGAUA